rnacentral:rRNA from 1 species
AUUGAACGCUGGCGGCAUGCCUUACACAUGCAAGUCGAACGGUAACGGGCCUUCGGGUGCCGACGAGUGGCGAACGGGUGAGUAAUGCAUCGGAACGUACCUUUCAGUGGGGGAUAACGUAGCGAAAGUUACGCUAAUACCGCAUAUUCUGUGAGCAGGAAAGCAGGGGAUCGCAAGACCUUGCGCUGAUUGAGCGGCCGAUGUCAGAUUAGCUAGUUGGUGAGGUAAAGGCUCACCAAGGCGACGAUCUGUAGCGGGUCUGAGAGGAUGAUCCGCCACACUGGAACUGAGACACGGUCCAGACUCCUACGGGAGGCAGCAGUGGGGAAUUUUGGACAAUGGGCGCAAGCCUGAUCCAGCCAUUCCGCGUGCAGGAUGAAGGCCUUCGGGUUGUAAACUGCUUUUGUACGGAACGAAACGGCGAGCUCUAAUACAGUUUGCUAAUGACGGUACCGUAAGAAUAAGCACCGGCUAACUACGUG